rnacentral:rRNA from 1 species
GAUCAUGGCUCAGGAUGAACGCUGGCGGCGUGCUUAACACAUGCAAGUCGAACGAAGCACUUAAGAUUGACUCUUCGGAUGAUUUCUUUGUGACUUAGUGGCGGACGGGUGAGUAACGCGUGGGUAACCUGCCUCACACAGGGGGAUAACAGUUAGAAAUGACUGCUAAUACCGCAUAACCCGAUAGGAUCGCAUGAUCCAGACGGAAAAGAAUUUAUCGGUGUGAGAUGACCCG